rnacentral:rRNA from 1 species
UGGGGAAUAUUGCACAAUGGGCGCAAGCCUGAUGCAGCCAUGCCGCGUGUAUGAAGAAGGCCUUCGGGUUGUAAAGUACUUUCAGCGGGGAGGAAGGUAGUAAAGUUAAUACCUUUGCUCAUUGACGUUACCCGCAGAAGAAGCACCGGCUAACUCCGUGCCAGCAGCCGCGGUAAUACGGAGGGUGCAAGCGUUAAUCGGAAUUACUGGGCGUAAAGCGCACGCAGGCGGUUUGUUAAGUCAGAUGUGAAAUCCCCGGGCUCAACCUGGGAACUGCAUCUGAUACUGGCAAGCUUGAGUCUCGUAGAGGGGGGUAGAAUUCCAGGUGUAGCGGUGAAAUGCGUAGAGAUCUGGAGGAAUACCGGUGGCGAAGGCGGCCCCCUGGACGAAGACUGACGCUCAGGUGCGAAAGCGUGGGGAGCAAACAGG